GAAGGUCUGAGACUGGUCCUCCUGCUCGUUGCGGUGGCGCACGCGCAGGGCCUCCCUGGAGACGGCCACGCAGAGAAGGGCCGCAGCAAGCGCCGCGCGCAGGGCGUACGCCAUGGCUGGAAAAAAUGCG
rnacentral:ribozyme from 13 species